AUUGAACGCUGGGGCAUGCCUUACACAUGCAAGUCGAACGGCAGCACGGGGGCAACCCUGGUGGCGAGUGGCACACGGGUGAGUAAUACCAUCGNAACGUGUCCUGUAGUGGGGGAUAGCCCGGCGAAACCCGGNUUAAAUACCGCAUACGAUCUUGUGGAUGAAAGCGGGGGAUCUUAGGACCUCGCGCUGCAGGGGCGGCCGAUGGCAGAUUAGCUAGUUGGUGGGGUAAAGGCCUACCAAGGCG
rnacentral:rRNA from 1 species